AUUGAACGCUGGCGGCAGGCCUAACACAUGCAAGUCGAGCGGUAGAGAGGUGCUUGCACCUCUUGAGAGCGGCGGACGGGUGAGUAAUGCCUAGGAAUCUGCCUGGUAGUGGGGGAUAACGCUCGGAAACGGACGCUAAUACCGCAUACGUCCUACGGGAGAAAGCAGGGGACCUUCGGGCCUUGCGCUAUCAGAUGAGCCUAGGUCGGAUUAGCUAGUUGGUGAGGUAAUGGCUCACCAAGGCGACGAUCCGUAACUGGUCUGAGAGGAUGAUCAGUCACACUGGAACUGAGACACGGUCCAGACUCCUACGGGAGGCAGCGGUGGGGAAUAUUGGACAAUGGGCGAAAGCCUGAUCCAGCCAUGCCGCGUGUGUGAAGAAGGUCUUCGGAUUGUAAAGCACUUUAAGUUGGGAGGAAGGGUCGUUACCUAAUACGUGACGAUUUUGACGUUACCGACAGAAUAAGCACCGGCUAACUCUGUGCCAGCAGCCGCAGUAAAAC
rnacentral:rRNA from 1 species